UUUGAAAGUAAUAAAAUUGCAUAUUUAAGGUCUGUAAUUACACCUAUUAUUUCUUCUUUCACCUUAGCAAAAAUUCAAGGGUUAUUAUAUUAGUCCAUUGUCCUCCUAAGGAAGUGUUAAUAUGGCGUAACAAUCUGAUAUUUUCAUUUCCCUUAUUUUCCAAAGUGCAUACGAGAAGGAGAAGCAAGUGUCAAUACCACAGGAAGUUUACCUUGAAAAUUAUUUACAUCGUCUGAAUAAGUGUUUAUGCUUUCUGAUUUUGUGCAUGUUGAAGGCUUGUAAUUUUGUCCCUUAUUUCAUCAUUCCCAGAUCACAGUUUCUUCGGUUUGCCACAUAAUGUGAAAUUUACCCUCUCAGUUGGUAAAACCUUGUAGAAAGCCUGUUUUCCUUUCAGUGGCUGAAUUUUCUGGUGUUUCUGAGCAACAGCUCCUGCAUGCCCAUCUCAGAACAAACACAAUCUGCAUUCAGAGCAGGACCCUGUACAAGUUGAAUGGAGUUAUUCUGGGUGCAGUGUGUUUACUGGCCCUUCCACAGCCCCACAGCUCCUGUGGCCUCUUGGAGGAAUUUUGAAGGCACUUUGUAGAAAGAGCAGGAACCCUGGCCUUGGCCCUGCUGUCUUCUCUCUGGUCAAGGAACUCAAGCAAGUCUCCUCCUCAACCUUAAAAAUAAUGAACUUGAUCUUCAGAUACCAUUCGUAUAAACUUACAAAGCCUCAUAAUACAAGCAGCACUCAAAACAAAUGAAAAAAAAGAUUCAUUACUAAACUAUUUUGGUGAUCCAUUAUUUUUAUUGGUCAAUAUUUUUAGACACUUUCUUAGGAAAGAAAUGGUUAAUGUUUGAUAAAAAAAAAU